GUCCGGGAAUUAUUGGGCGUAAAGAGCUCGUAGGCGGUUUGUCGCGUCUGCUGUGAAAUCUGGGGGCUCAACCCCCAGCCUGCAGUGGGUACGGGCAGACUAGAGUGCGGUAGGGGAGAUUGGAAUUCCUGGUGUAGCGGUGGAAUGCGCAGAUAUCAGGAGGAACACCGAUGGCGAAGGCAGAUCUCUGGGCCGUAACUGACGCUGAGGAGCGAAAGCGUGGGGAGCGAACAGGAUUAGAUACCCUGGUAGUCCACGCCGUAAACGUUGGGAACUAGAUGUGGGGACCAUUCCACGGUCUCCGUGUCGCAGCUAACGCAUUAAGUUCCCCGCCUGGGGAGUACGGCCGCAAGGCUAAAACUCAAAGGAAUUGACGGGGGCCCGCACAAGCGGCGGAGCAUGCGGAUUAAUUCGAUGCAACGCGAAGAACCUUACCAAGGCUUGACAUAUACCGGAAACGGCCAGAGAUGGUCGCCCCGCAAGGUCGGUAUACAGGUGGUGCAUGGUUGUCGUCAGCUCGUGUCGUGAGAUGUUGGGUUAAGUCCCGCAACGAGCGCAACCCUCGUUCUAUGUUGCCAGCACGUUAUGGUGGGAACUCAUAGGAGACUGCCGGGGUCAACUCGGAGGAAGGUGGGGAUGACGUCAAAUCAUCAUGCCCCUUAUGUCUUGGGCUUCACGCAUGCUACAAUGGCCGGUACAAAGGGCUGCGAUACCGUAAGGUGGAGCGAAUCCCAAAAAGCCGGUCUCAGUUCGGAUUGGGGUCUGCAACUCGACCCCAUGAAGUCGGAGUCGCUAGUAAUCGCAGAUCAGCAACGCUGCGGUGAAUACGUUCCCGGGCCUUGUACACACCGCCCGUCAAGUCAUGAAAGUCGGUAACACCCGAAGCCAGUGCGCAC
rnacentral:rRNA from 1 species